CANUGGNUCUGUNCGNCGNGCUUACNUUCCCUAGUCGAGCGGGGGAAGGUANCUUGCUACUGGACCUAGCGGCGGACGGGUGAGUAAUGCUUAGGAAUCUGCCUAUUAGUGGGGGACAACAUCUCGAAAGGGAUGCUAAUACCGCAUACGUCCUACGGGAGAAAGCAGGGGAUCUUCGGACCUUGCGCUAAUAGAUGAGCCUAAGUCGGAUUAGCUAGUUGGUGGGGUAAAGGCCUACCAAGGCGACGAUCUGUAGCGGGUCUGAGAGGAUGAUCCGCCACACUGGGACUGAGACACGGCCCANACUCCUACGGGAGGCAGCAGUGGGGAAUAUUGGACAAUGGGGGGAACCCUGAUCCAGCCAUGCCGCGUGUGUGAAGAAGGCCUUAUGGUUGUAAAGCACUUUAAGCGAGGAGGAGGCUACUCUAGUUAAUACCUAGGGAUAGUGGACGUUACUCGCANAAUAAGCACCGGCUAACUCUGUGCCAGCAGCCGCGGUAAUACAGAGGGUGCGAGCGUUAAUCGGAUUUACUGGGCGUAAAGCGUGCGUAGGCGGCUUAUUAAGUCGGAUGUGAAAUCCCCGAGCUUAACUUGGGAAUUGCAUUCGAUACUGGUGAGCUAGAGUAUGGGAAAAGGAUGGUANAAUUCCNGGUGUANCGGUGAAAUGCGUAAAGAUCUGGAGGAAUACCGAUGGCGAANGCANCCAUCUGGCCUAAUACUGACNCUGAGGUACNAAAGCNUGGGGGAGCAAACAGGAUNANAUNCCCUGGGNAGUCCNUGCCCGUAAACNAUGUCUACUAACCCGUNGGGGCCUUUGAGGCUUUUAUGGCCCCCCCUAACCCCAUAAUUAAACCCCCUGGGGNAUCNGUCCCCAANUNAAACUCAAUGAAUUGCGGGGNCCCCCAA
rnacentral:rRNA from 1 species